CAGCAGCCGCGGGAACACGGAGGGGGCUAGCGUUAAUCGGAAUUACUGGGCGUAAAGCGUGCGUAGGCGGUUCGUUAAGUCUGUUGUGAAAGCCCCGGGCUCAACCUGGGAAUGGCAAUGGAUACUGGCGAGCUAGAGUGAGUCAGAGGAUGGUGGAAUUCCCGGUGUAGCGGCGAAAUGCGUAGAGAUCGGGAGGAACAUCAGUGGCGAAGGCGGCCAUCUGGGACAACACUGACGCUGAGGUGCGAAAGCGUGGGGAGCAAACAGGAUUAGAUACCCCCGUAGUCCCUGUCUCUUAUAC
rnacentral:rRNA from 1 species